AAGGUUUGCUGGAGGUAUCAGAAGUGCGAAUGCUGACAUGAGUAACGACAAAGGGGGUGAAAAACCUCCUCGCCGGAAGACCAAGGGUUCCUGUCCAACGUUAAUCGGGGCAGGGUGAGUCGACCCCUAAGGUGAGGCCGAAAGGCGUAAUCGAUGGGAAACGGGUUAAUAUUCCCGUACUUCUGACUAUUGCGAUGGGGGGACGGAGAAGGCUAGGUGGGCCAGGCGACGGUUGUCCUGGUUCAAGUGCGUAGGCUUGAGAGUUAGGUAAAUCCGGCUCUCUCUAAGGCUGAGACACGACGUCGAGCUACUACG
rnacentral:rRNA from 1 species